UACGAAGGUGGCUAGCGUUGUUCGGAAUUACUGGGCGUAAAGCGCACGCAGGCGGAUUUAUAAGUCAGGGGUGAAAUCCCGGGGCUCAACCUCGGAAUUGCCUUUGAUACUGUCUAUCUUGAGUCCGGGAGAGGUGAGUGGAAUUCCUAGUGUAGAGGUGAAAUUCGUAGAUAUUAGGAAGAACACAAGUGGCGAAGGCGGCUCACUGGCCCGGUACUGACGCUCAUGUGCGAAAGCGUGGGGAGCAAACAGG
rnacentral:rRNA from 1 species